rfam:Morus notabilis contig14240, whole genome shotgun sequence.
GCCCCCAUCGUCUACCGGUUCAGGACAUCUCUCUUUCAAGGAGGCAGCGGGGAUUCGACUUCCCCUGGGGGUA